rnacentral:rRNA from 1 species
GAGGGAAUCUUCGGCAAUGGGGGCAACCCUGACCGAGCAACGCCGCGUGAGUGAAGAAGGUUUUCGGAUCGUAAAGCUCUGUUGUAAGAGAAGAACGUGUGUGAGAGUGGAAAGUUCACACAGUGACGGUAACUUACCAGAAAGGGACGGCUAACUACGUGCCAGCAGCCGUGGUAAUACGUAGGUCCCGAGCGUUGUCCGGAUUUAUUGGGCGUAAAGCGAGCGCAGGCGGUUUAAUAAGUCUGAAGUUAAAGGCAGUGGCUUAACCAUUGUUCGCUUUGUAAACUGUUAAACUUGAGUGCAGAAGGGGAGAGUGGAAUUCCAUGUGUAGCGGUGAAAUGCGUAGAUAUAUGGAGGAACACCGGUGGCGAAAGCGGCUCUCUGGUCUGUAACUGACGCUGAGGCUCGAAAGCGUGGGGAGCAAACAGG